rnacentral:rRNA from 1 species
GAUGAACGCUGGCGGCGUGCCUAAUACAUGCAAGUCGAGCGAAUGGAUUAAGAGCUUGCUCUUAUGAAGUUAGCGGCGGACGGGUGAGUAACACGUGGGUAACCUGCCCAUAAGACUGGGAUAACUCCGGGAAACCGGGGCUAAUACCGGAUAACAUUUUGAACCGCAUGGUUCGAAAUUGAAAGGCGGCUUCGGCUGUCACUUAUGGAUGGACCCGCGUCGCAUUAGCUAUUUGGUGAGGUAACGGCUUACCAAGGCAACGAUGCGUAGCCGACCUGAGGGGGUGAUCGGCCACGCUGGGACUGAGACACGGCCCAGACUCCUACGGGAGGCAGAAGUAGGGAAUCUUCCGCAAUGGACGAAAGUCUGACGGAGCAACGCCGCGUGAGUGAUGAAGGCUUUCGGGUCGUAAAACUCUGUUGUUAGGGAAGAACAAGUGCUAGUUGAAUAAGCUGGCACCUUGACGGUACCUAACCAGAAAGCCACGGCUAACUACGUGCCAGCCGCCGCGGUAA